rnacentral:rRNA from 1 species
GCCUAACCUAACAUGCAAUUAAAACACCAAUUGUUCGCCAAAUAACUACGAGUAAAAACUUAAAAUUUAAAAGACUUGACGGUACUUCACACCACCCUAGAGGAGCCUGUCUAAUAACCGAUAUUCCACGAUUAACCCAACCCGCCCUAGCCAAUCAGUCUAUAUACCGCCAUCGCCAGCUCACCUUGUAAAAGAAACACAGCGAGCCUAAAAGCACCACCACUAACACGAUAGGUCGAGGUGUAACUAAUGGGGGGGGAAUCAGGUGGGCUACAUUUUCUAGUACAGAAAACACGAAUAGACUAUGAAAGUAGAAACCGAAGGAGGAUUUAGUAGUAUGUUAAGGACAAAAUGCUUAACCGAAAUAAACGCAAUGAAGUGCGUACACACCGCCCGUCAUCCCUGUCAACACCCACUAAACCUUUAUAAACCAACACAAACUACCAAACAGGGCAAGUCGUAACAUGGUAAGCGUACUGGAAAGUGCGCUUAGAAA